rnacentral:misc_RNA from 1 species
GAUGAAGAACGUAGCGAAAUGCGAUAAGUAAUGUGAAUUGCAGAAUUCAGUGAAUCAUCGAAUCUUUGAACGCACCUUGCGCCCUUUGGCCGUUCCGAAGGGCAUGCCUGUUUGAGUAUCAUGAACACCUCAACUCUUUAUGGUUUUCCAUGAUGAGCUUGGACUCUGGGGGUUUUGCUGGCUCACAGUCGGCUCCUCUAAAAUGAAUCAGCUUACCAGUGUUUGGUGGGUAUCAUGGGUGUGAUAACUAUCUACGCUUGUGGUUUUUCCACCAGGUAACCUUCAGCAGUGGAGGUUCGCUGGAGCUCAUAGAUGUCUCUCCUCAGUGAGGACAGCCCUUUGAAUGUUUGAUCUCAAAUCAGGUAGGACUACCCGCUGAACUUAAGCAUAUCAAUAAGCGGAGGA